rnacentral:lncRNA from 1 species
GUGUGAAUGCAUGUUGUUUCUGGAAUACAUCAUAUUCAUUUGCAGAAACCCUGUGUAUGGAUCUUCAACACUUCUUUUUUUGUCUUCUUUUCCGAGGUACCUAAAAUAAUAGCUUUUUAAGACAGUCUUACGAUCACAUAACUUGUUGGGAAAAGCAUACCAUGGCUCACAAUCUGAAUUAAACAUUGUCAUUGUGGUAUAGAAGAAGGUGCAUGCUCAGGAGUUGCUAUCUGACUGAGUUGCUGAAGACAGCGAGUCACUGACAGAGGAGUAGGAAUUAUCAAAAGAGAAGUGUCUGCCACCCUGUUUCUUUUGUGCUAACCACCAACAGCUGGAGACCAGGCCAAAGAGAGGCAAGAGAAGCACGUCUCAAGGAAGCAUGUGCUUAAGCACGAAGAUGAACAAAGCUUCCAGGGCUAUUCAAAUCAGCUCUGGCUAUACCAAGUCCAUGCCUAUCCCUUAUACUUUCCAUAUAUUUUAAUAAAUUCAAAGAGAGCUGCUGAGAUUAAAGGGAAGAGCUUUGUGGUGGACAACGCGAAAUGAACAGGCUCUUCCUGCUGUGCAAGGCAGCGACUUGCUGAAGAUGGAGCCUGCACAUCAGAGGAGAGGAUCAUAAGGAUUCUGCCAGGUUUUAAUGCAACAUACCGGCUAUUUUGACUUGGUCGUCUUCUAAUCAAACUGGAGAUGUUUAGCUAGAAACUCCUUUCCCUGUUAUUUCAAACAUAGCCCAAGCACAGCUCCAGUGUCUGCUGAGGAUAGGUUGGGCAUGGAUGGGAGAGAGCUGACCCUACCUCGAUUUGUUGUGUUCCUUCCUUAUCUGCCCAUUCUAAUGGAAGUCUGCCACACAUCAUGGAUGCAAAGUGUGGAGCAUCAGAUGUUCACAGCUUCCCAUUGUGAAGUGAAGGUGUUGGGACCACUUUGUCUUCAGGACUGGACCAACGCUUUAACUACAAGAAAGUGUCAGAUAUGCGGGAUGAUGAUGCAUGGAAAGAAGAAAAACAUUCCUGAGUCAUCCUGUUUCCUGAGCAUAAGGAGGCACAAGAUAGUGUGUUACUUUUUUUACUGAAGUCGGUCCAGGGAAAGGAAAAGAAGAAAGUACUUCCAGAGGGUAAUUAGUCCCAUCUUAAAACAAGUGUGUAAGACAGAUGGGCCUAUAUACCACAAGUUUGGGAUCCAGAUUGGGGCUUGGACCUGACAUUCAUCAGAGCGUAAGCAUAUUUGAACCUAGCAUUUGAGGUCAGCCUCUUGUGGAGUUAACCACCUACUGAUUGAGUAGAUCUCUCCUAUAUGUCGAGGCAUAGGUGUAGAAAGUACAAUGAUUUUAUUUAACUUGAUCUGUAAGGUAUUUAAAUUUAAUUCGGAAGACUUCUCAUGAAGCAGGAGGCUGUAUUUAUAAUUAUUAUUGUGUCUGAAGGGUGAAAUUACAUAUGACAAUUAAAUAUGGUGGAUAUUAUAAUAGGAUACAUACUUAAAGUGGUUUCCAAUCUAAAUGUGUUUGAAGUCAAUAGGAGUACCUACGGCAAAGUAUUCGGAUCCUGAUUUAUAAUCUACCACUUUUACCCCAGUAUGGUUAUUUAUGGAUAAAUUGACCUGUUCCUAGAAUAGAAUAUGAUAUGUUAGUAAAACUGUACGCCUAGGUGUGGAAAGACAAUUAGCCUAUAAACACACUGACUUCCUCUUUAGGUUGAGAACACCUCAUAUUUCCAAGACUAAUGGUUUCUAAUCUGUUUUUAAAUGUUCCAUUUGGAUAGUGAAGGCGUAACUAUCAAAACACUGUAAAAUCAUAAUGCCUGUGCAGCUAUAAAUUACUGUUUUCAAAAUGAGCUGGAGGUCUCCAACUUAUUCCCAAGUGCAGAAAAGUUAGAUAACAUAAAACUGCUCAGAAAUGACUAGAAGCAACUUUUCUGGCUUUUUCCAAAUGCUAGGAAAUCGUGGAUCUGCCCACUAACUCCCUAGCAAUGCCCAUAUGGAUAGCAAUAAAGCUAGUCCCAUAAAGAAUACUUGAAUUGAUCAAAAGCAUUUCAGAUUAGAGAUCAACAGAAAGAGCUGUGUUGCUUUUUGUUUGUUUGUUUAUUUAUUUAUAUCCUGGAAAUCUCUCUGAUACGAAAAAUAUCUGACUUAUUUUUCAUUCAUCAAAUUGUGGACUGCUUCAUAUGAGAUACGAACUGCAUGACCUGCUGAUGGCGAAGUGCUGCUUCCAUGGAAGAUGCAGCUUUAAACAAUAAGAGAAAGCAUCAACCCUCUCCUGCCAUAUUUUGAACUUUGGAGUGUGCACAAGGAUGGAAAAAUACAGAAGGAUGGAAAAACACAAGGAGUGGUGGGACACAACGCAAAGUGAGUCUGAGCUGCCUUUAACUUCAGCCUUUGCACUGUGCCAAUACACCAGGAAGAUGCAGUUUAUUCUACCAGGAAUGCUGAUAUCGCAAACACCUAUUUAAACACAGAAGUGUUGGAGGUUUGAACAUCUUUUAUGAAUACUACACCACUGUUUUAAGAAAAGACAAAUACAAGGUAUUGUUGAAGGUAUACCGCUAUAAUCUCAGAUUUUUUUUAUGUACCUGCACCUUCGCUUCUGCCAGAAUUACUUGCUGCAUUCAUCUAGCUGCAGAGAGACUCUGCUGAAGGAAAGAUUGCACGCAAGGACCUCAAUUCAAUGCCAGGGUAUUAUCUGGCUCAGCUUGGCACAGUUCAAGUGCACAACUGCAACCUUUUCCAUGACCCAAAAGUCAAUGCCACUCCGUGGGCUGGCAGUUUGCAAAUAAAACGUAUCCUUAAUGAAGUGUGGAAGCUCCUGUUCUUUUCCUUCCUCAGGAGACGUGCCUUAAUCUCUGGCUCACAGCCUUGUCAAAUGCUGCAGUAAAGAACUGGCAAGCUCAGUGCUGCUAAUGGAUUGAAAUCUCCACCAGAGAUAUGCUGUGCAACCUCAGCUUGCCUUUUCUAUGAGCAGCUGAAAGACGUCGCUAAGCAGAAUUUACCCAUUUGCAAUGGCAUUUUGAGCCCAAGCGGGCCUUGGGCAGGGUGCAAAGAGAAACAAAGAAGUUUGUCUGCGAGGCUUUUACUGAAUCUUAGCCAAAGGUACGAGUCUUUUAACGAAGAAAUACAGCUUCUACAGACUUGCUUUCUCUUCUUCAGUAUAAAUUUUGAUGUAUAAAUAACGUUCCUACGGAGACCUGGUCAUCUGCUGGUAUUGAUCACCUGCCUCCCUGUCCUCCAAGGUCUGAUUCAGUCAUAGCCUGAAACAAAUGUCAGCACCUUUACUGGAAAAUGUAGUAAACAGUGGAUUAGACAAACGAGAGGGCUGGAAAUGGGUCUGCUUCAAGUCUUACCGCAUACCUUGUGGAGUGAUGUCUGGAGAUGGUGGAGUUGUGUAUCCUCCGUUGAGACUGCCUUCAUGGCACAUUUGUUUCAAGGCAUGCAAUUGAGACGCUCGGAUACCGAUGUUCAGAGCCCUCUUCUCCUUGCUUACCUAAAUUUAGUUAAAGAGCCCUUGAGAUAAGCUGCAGCCACAGGUGAAAUCUCUCAUUUCUUUGGCUACUUAUAGAUUACCAUGAUCUGCUUUGGUUUGGAACAGCAGCUACCCAAAGGUGAUGCUGUGGGAAUGCU